CCUAGAAGAAACCCGGGCUCCCAUGAAAGGCUGCCCAGCACCGCAGGAGGAAUAGAGGCUCCAAGUGGCUGCACAGUAAGUGCCUUGUCUUAUCUGAGAUAAAAGCAUAACUUCAUUUCCUCAAUUUUUCUUUUAUCCUCUCUCUCUCUCUCUCUGUCUCUCUCUGUCUCUCUCUCUCUCUCUGGUUUUGGUUUUGGUUUUGGUUUUUAAUGGCUGCACCUGCUGCACAUGGAGUUUCCCAGGCUAGGGUCUAAUCAGAACUACAGCUGCCGGCAUAUACCACAGCCACAGCAAGUCACGAUGUGAGCCGAGUCGGUGACCUACAGCACAGCGCAUGGCAACACCAGAUCCUUAACCCACUGAGCGAGUCCAGGGAUCAAACCUGCAGCCUCAUGCUUUCUAGUCAGUUUUGGUUCCGCCGUGCCACAACGGGAACUCCAAUUUCCUCCUUUUGUCUGUCAGUUUCAACUAUGCAAGUCUACACUGUUCAAAUCAGUGGAGACCUACAUUUUUCCUGGGUUGGACGAGUGUUGACGGAAUGUCUCUCCCAAUGCAUGACUGAUUGAAAAAUUGACAGCAGCCUCUAGAAACUGGAAGUGCGGCUGAGAGCAAUGUUACCAGCAGAGAAUUGCCCUCCUUGCAAGAGAAUUUGGUGGGUUUUGGUCAAAGUACACAUAAGAAUUCCUACAGGAAGAUUUGAAGCCUUUGUCCAGGAUGACCUCUGUGUUUUCUUUGGGACCGUGGACUCGAGGAGUGUUUCCCUUUUGGGUUUUGCUGGGCAGAAAGACCAUGAAAAUUCUCAUGUCCAUAGAGACCAGGAAGCUUAGAUUCUCACACUGUUUUCUUGCACUAGAUGCCGGCCGAUGACGCAACUAAUAAUAAUGGCAUGGCUUUGGAGCGCCCCACUCCAGUGACAAACAAUCGGGGUGAAGAAGAAGAAGAUUGCAUAGGAUGCUGCUUCCGGAUCCAAAGGAACAAUCGACAGACGUCACAAAGAUCCACCUCUGGCUGCAUCAGAAAAUUAUGCUCCUGGCGCCACCAGCGAGUGCACCCCGCUAAUGGGUCGGGGACAGGUACGUGAGAUUUUCUCCUUCGGUGCAUGCAAGAAUAAUUUUUCUUUAGGGUCCCCUGUAUACGAAUGAACUCGGAAGUAUUUUGUGGUAUCCUUUGUGCGUGCGUGCGUGCGUGCGUGUGUGUCCAAGUUGAAACAUACUUAGUCAGGGUGUAGUGUUUAUAUACCUGUGGAAAUAAAACGACUUUGAAAUCUCA
rnacentral:lncRNA from 1 species